rnacentral:rRNA from 1 species
AUUGAACGCUGGCGGCAUGCCUUACACAUGCAAGUCGAACGGUAACGGGCCUUCGGGUGCCGACGAGUGGCGCACGGGUGAGUAAUACAUCGGAACGUGCCCGAUCGUGGGGGAUAACGAGGCGAAAGCUUUGCUAAUACCGCAUACGAUCUACGGAUGAAAGCAGGGGACCGCAAGGCCUUGCGCGGACGGAGCGGCCGAUGGCAGAUUAGGUAGUUGGUGGGAUAAAAGCUUACCAAGCCGACGAUCUGUAGCUGGUCUGAGAGGAUGAUCAGCCACACGGGGGACUGAGACACGCCCAGGCCUCCGGGGGGAGGCGGAGGGGGGGAUUUUGGAAAAAGGGCCGCAAGCCUGACCCAGCCAGCCCGCGGGAAGGAUGAGGCCCUUGGGUUGGAAAACUGUUUUUGUACGGAAGAAAAAGCUUUUUUUUAAUACGGGGGGGUCAGGAGGGACCGGAAAAAAAAACCCCCGCCAACCUACGGC